rnacentral:misc_RNA from 1 species
AGAGGAAGUAAAAGUCGUAACAAGGUUUCCGUAGGUGAACCUGCGGAAGGAUCAUUAGUGACUUGAAAGCCAUUCUCGCUCUCGUGGACGAAUGGUGAAGUAUGAUGACCUAAGCCGCUUGCGGAAGAGGCAUAUUGAGCUUAUGUUAAGUAGUGAUUAAUUACGUGUCGCGUUUUUGACGCGUGUCGCUGACAACUAGCUUGUCGGUUUGACAAAUUACCAAAGUGUGUGCUAUAGAGUGUAGAUGAGUUAGCAAGACUCAAUAUGGAGGAUCACUUAGUCCCUAAAGCGAUGAAAAACGUAGUAAUUUGUGGAAAUUGAUGUGAGUUGUGAAAUUUUGUGAGCAUUGUGUUUUUGAAUGAAAAUUUCAGCAUAGGUGCAAAGUAUCUAUGCUACACUUGUUUCAGUAUAUUGACCUAGCAAUACGUAGUUACUAUUGCUGCAAUGCAAUAGUAUAAGUUUUCCAUAAUCACAAGAGUGAUGCUAAUCUGUGUAAUGGACGUGUAUCUGAACUCAAGUGUGAGAACCCCCUGAAUUUAAGCAUAU